CUGCCUUGCUUCCCCGUGCUGACACAACCAAAGACCAGUGAUGGGCUGGGGUCCAGAUUUGCUUUCCCAACCUCACCCCUUCCCCUUCCCCGACCUGAUCUUGUGCUGUAGGAGGUCUGCACGCAGCGGCUUUUUAGCCCCAAAGCCACUCCUGAACUCCAGAGGGGCUCAGAGCCAGCUCCUGGGGGUGAGGAGGGCCACAGAAGUAAUUCGAUGCUCUUCUGUCCUCCCUGCAGACUAUGAGUGCCAUGGACCUCAUGCUGGUGGCCUUCAUACUCAACUGUCCAAAGACCAGUUCCAGCACAGAGUUGCUGAAUAUUUUGGAGGUUUGGCAUUUGCAAAGAAUUUCCAAAGAAUCCUCUCAGGUCACAUUUGCAGACCACUGUCAACCCAGCAACUUCUCUCCUCACAGGCGCUGCUGGACUUUGCCCACUCCAAAAACCCAGCUGUGCGUGAGAGAGCUGUGAGGAGGAUUGAGAGGCUGGGUGAUUUCAUCGUCAGGUAUUUUGUGACCGAGAACUCAGAUGACUAUGAAAAAUACAAGCACAGCCACGAUGAUUCUAGAGAGCUCUACAUCCCCAUCCUGGGCAAGCUGCUGGGCCACCUCUUCAUUUUCAGCAAUAGCAAUGAUUCCUUUGGACGCGCAGCUUUGGAUGCUCUUUUUCACUUCUACAAAAUCGUCAGAGAAGGAAGAGAAUGCAGAUUGAGAGAGGACAUGGAAAAUUAUGCAAAGAGACAUAAGAAUUUGGAGCAUACAACACUUCCAUUUUCUAUAACAUCAACUCCCUGUGAAAUUGCCAAGGGGUUUGGAGGACAUCUCUUCCCUGCUGAGAGGCUGGACAUCAUCCUCACAGCCCUUGAAGCUUUACAA
rnacentral:lncRNA from 1 species